AAUUAAUUAGCUUAUAAAAGCAAAUAUUUUGAAAAUAUUUUAAAGAUAUAAAAUUAUCUAUUAAUUU
rnacentral:tRNA from 1 species